rnacentral:sRNA from 3 species
UUCGUUUCGUAGGAAAGAUUUAGCACAGCAUUUCACGAAUAAGACGCAUCUCUGUUGUUUUGGUAGUUGUCCGUCCUGUUUUUGAUUCCGCGCGUUUUUUGUUUCCGCACAACGCUGAUCAGUCAUCGUUCAAGAUGGUCUGGCGGCACAUUAAAUUAUCGAUUUCAGGAUUAUGAUUAUGUCGACUACUACCGGUACUGUUAAGUUUUUCAACGAAGCAAAAGGCUUUGGUUUCAUCACUCGUGAAAGCGGCCCUGACGUAUUCGUUCACUACAGCGCUAUUCAAGGCGGCGGAUUCAAGACCCUGGCAGAAGGCCAGCAGGUUGAGUUCACCGUAACUGACGGCCAGAAAGGCCCUCAGGCAGAGAACGUUGUUGCUGUUUAAAUAACAGUCAGCACGUUUGAAAAAGGCAGCUUCGGCUGCCUUUUUUCG